CACAUGUAUAGUAAGAAAUGAUUAUAAUCUGUUAGCUGCAAUAUUAUCAUGAUAGUUACUAAAUACUGAUAUAUUGCCCAUCCUUAUUGGUACUGCAUUUCUCUAUUCUCAUUGUUGUGUUCCUUGACCCCUAUUCUUGUAUAUCUUAAUUUGUCUCGUAUUGACAUUUCUUCCUCUCUUUUGCCUUCUCUCCUCCUAGUAUAUGUACAUGUACAUCUAACUUUUGCUCUUUCUCUUUUCUUCCUAUAUAGGAUUCUCCUAUCUCUUACGUUCUUUGUCUUCUUGUGUAUAAUACAGUUCUUUACUGAUACUAUAAGCUUGUGUUAACACAAUACAUUUUUGAAUCACAGACACAUUGCGUGUCAAGAAUCAAGAUUCCAUUUCCGGCAAAAGAUGUGGGAGCAGAACUAUCCUAACAACAUGAUGGAGAAUGGAAUUAAGACAAAAUGCUAAGAAUAUUCAAAGCAUGUCCAAUUUGAACAAUGCCGUUAACUACUCAUAAUCAAUAAACAGUUUGUUCCAUGGACAUUAACUUAUUACUUAGAGAAAAGGAUGUGUUGAGAUUAAUAUGCACUAAUGCAAUGUGUCACCAUUUUCUUGAUGCAUCAAGCUUAGGAGAUACUGAGGUCAUCAAUGAGUCUUGCAUUCAAGCUUGCUGUCUUUCAAAAUUAGGACACUGUACAUAAACUUGCAUUUUUGUGUUCUUUUUAUAAUGUUAUAAUUGUUUUUUGUUACCUAAAAUAAUUAUUCUUUAAUACUA